GACGAACGCUGGCGGCGUGCUUAACACAUGCAAGUCGAACGGAAAGGCCCUGCUUUUGUGGGGUGCUCGAGUGGCGAACGGGUGAGUAACACGUGAGUAACCUGCCCUUGCCUUUGGGAUAACUUCAGGAAACUGGGGCUAAUACCGGAUAGGAGCUCCUGCUGCAUGGUGGGGGUUGGAAAGUUUCGGCGGUUGGGGAUGGACUCGCGGCUUAUCAGCUUGUUGGUGGGGUAGUGGCUUACCAAGGCUUUGACGGGUAGCCGGCCUGAGAGGGUGACCGGCCACAUUGGGACUGAGAUACGGCCCAGACUCCUACGGGAGGCAGCAGUGGGGAAUAUUGCACAAGGGGCGGAAGCCUGAUGCAGCAACGCCGCGUGCGGGAUGACGGCCUUCGGGUUGGAAACCGCGUUCGCCUGUGACGAAGCGUGAGUGACGGUAAUGGGUAAAGAAGCACCGGCUAACUACGUU
rnacentral:rRNA from 1 species